AGGACGAACGCUGGCGGCGUGGAUUAGGCAUGCAAGUCGCGCGACGAACCUUCGGGUUACGGAGCGGCGAACGGGUGAGUAACACGUGAACAAUCUGUCCCUACAUUCUGGAUAAUUGGCCGAAAGGCCUUGUAAUACGGGCGAGGAUGGUGGUGAGGCAUCUCACUAUCAGGGAAGGUGCAACGCAAGUUGUGCCGCGCGAGGGGAGGGGUUCGCGGCCUAUCAGGUUUAGUUGGGUACGGGGUAACCGGCCUACCGAAGACGACGGACGGGUAGCUGGUCUGGAGAGGAUUGGUCAGCCACUAGUUGGAACUGACGACCACUGUACCAGUACCUCCCGUACGGGAGCU
rnacentral:rRNA from 1 species